AUGAUUCUUGAUUUUCACCUUCUUUCUCCUUCUUUUGCAGGCAACACAGUGGAUGGCAAUGAAGAUGGUCAUGGAGGUUGGAGGACGAGGGAGGCAAGGGUUUCGGAUCUAGGGUUUCAGAGUUUAAAACUCGGAUCCCUUUCAAGCUUCGUCUCCUCUUCUGUGAAUUUGUUAUCCCUCUUUCUUUCUGUGAAUCCUCUUCCUCCCCAUGAUCUCCUAUUCUGUAAUCGCUCCCCCCACUAUAAUUCUUCUUUUCUGUAG